rnacentral:tRNA from 1 species
GGGGCUGUAGCUCAGUAGGAUAGAGCGACCGCCUCCUAAGCGGUAGGUCGCGCGUUCGAUUCGCGCCAGUCCCG